UACGUAGGGGGCAAGCGUUGUCCGGAAUCAUUGGGCGUAAAGAGCGUGUAGGCGGCCAGGUAGGUCGGUUGUGAAAACUCGAGGCUCAACCUCGAGAUGUCGACCGAAACCAUCUGGCUAGAGUCCGGAAGAGGAGAAUGGAAUUCCCGGUGUAGCGGUGGAAUGCGCAGAUAUCAGGAGGAACACCAAUAGCGAAGGCAGCUCGCUGGGACGGUAUUGACGCUAAGGCGCGAAAGCGUGGGGAGCAAACAGG
rnacentral:rRNA from 1 species